rnacentral:rRNA from 1 species
GACGAACCGUGCGAACGUUGUUCGGAAUCACUGGGCGUAAAGCGUGCGCAGGCGGUUUUGUAAGUCUGUCGUGAAAUCCCCGGGCUCAACCUGGGAAUUGCGAUGGAGACUGCAAGGCUAGAAUCUGGCAGAGGGGGGUAGAAUUCCACGUGUAGCAGUGAAAUGCGUAGAGAUGUGGAGGAACACCGAUGGCGAAGGCAGCCCCCUGGGUCAAGAUUGACGCUCAUGGCACGAAAGCGUGGGGAGCAAACAGG